ACCUUUGUGCAGUGGAAGUAUAUCGUAGCCAAUGAGGUUUAUCCGAGGCGCAAUUACUGCUAAUUGAAACAAUUGGGUAGUUUCUGAUUCUUAUCAAUAUAACUUACUUUAUAUAAAGGACUAGAAUCAAAAUAGUAAAAACUA
rfam:Otolemur garnettii contig133636, whole genome shotgun sequence.